UUUUAAGCAACCCCUGCCCGGUGAGUUAUAGAAACUUUAACGGCCGCAGUACCUUGACUGUGCAAAGGUAGCAUAAUAAUUUGUCCUCUAAUUAAGGUCUGGAAUGAAGGGGGUCACAGGGGAGAGCUGUCUCCAAUAAGGUUAAUUUAACUUUCUUAUCAGGUGAAAAUUCCUGAGCCUCCGAUGAAAGACGAGAAGACCCUUAGAGUUUUUAUUAUAACUUGAUAUAUUAAGAUUCUUGUUCUGUUUUUGUUGGGGCGACAGGGUUACAAUAGAUAACUUACCCUACCAUAUUUUUAUAUGGCGAUCAUUAUACUUUUAAAUAAGCUACCUAAGGGAUAACAGCGUAAUCUUUUUUUUUUUGGUUUGCAACCUCAAUGUUGGACUAGGGGCCUACUGGUUAGUUACCAUUAUG
rnacentral:rRNA from 1 species